CGGUAAAAAAUGGUGGAAGAUACUAGAAUAAAGAAAGAAAAACAGAAAAACGAGUGGUAUGCUUUACAGUAUUCAACCAAUAAAGAUGGAAGGGAGUUAGGUGUCACCGCCCAAGCCAACUGAGCCUAACAACAAAAUGAACACCCCCCCACACUCAGUUCACUCAAUUAUGAAGAAUGGCUCACAGCUGUGCUUCUGUUUGAUCCAUGCAGCAGAGCAGGACUCCAGCUCAACCCGGACGCUGGACAGACACACCACUGGUAAACAUAUCAGAUUCGCUCAGAUCUGCUCGGAUGUGGAUUUUCGGAUCCGCCCCGCCCACAGAAUCAGCAACGAGAACCCAGGAAAAAGGCGGAGUUUCUCCUGGAACGAGGACAAACGUCUGUGGAGACACGAUUGCUGCUCUGAAUCUGCAGGAGUUUAUUUUAAAUGUCUAGCUUAUAUAUGUGGAGAAUGGAGGAGUGGCUACUGUGCUCCAUGUUGUGUUUUUCCCCACAUCGAUUGCCUUUUUUUGGACAUUGAAAUGUUCUUCAAAACAUGUGAAAUAUUCAAUAAAUCCUCAGGAACAGGAUUCUGUAUUCUA